rnacentral:rRNA from 1 species
UUGUAUAAGAGGUCCAGCCUGCCCAGUGACCCAGUUUAACGGCCGCGGUAUCCUAACCGUGCGAAGGUAGCGUAAUCACUUGUUCUUUAAAUGAGGACUAGUAUGAACGGCAUCACGAAGGUUGUACUGUCUCCCCUUUUUAAUCAGUGAAACUAAUCUUCCCGUGAAGAAGCGGGAAUGCUAUAAUAAGACGAGAAGACCCUAUGGAGCUUUAAACUAUCUAACACUUGCUGUCACUCUUUCACUUUCAGCAGCUUCACAAAAAACACAGCAUUAUGAUUACAAGUUUUCGAUUGGGGUGAUCACGGAGUAAAAAUCAACCUCCACGCCAAAUGGGCCCAACCCUGAACCAUAAGCCACAACUUUAAGUACUAAAAAAUUAUUGUUUCUUGACCCAAUAAUUUGAUCAACGAACCAAGUUACCCUAGGGAUAACAGCGCAAUCCACUUCAAGAGCCCCUAUCGACAAGUGGGUUUACGACCUCGAUGUUGGAUCAGGGUGUCCAAGUGGUGCAGCCGCUACUAACGGUUCGUUUGUUCAACGAUUAAAACCCUACGUGAUCUGAGUUCAGACCG